rnacentral:rRNA from 1 species
AUACGGAGGGUGCAAGCGUUAAUCGGAAUUACUGGGCGUAAAGCGCACGCAGGCGGUCUGUCAAGUCGGAUGUGAAAUCCCCGGGCUCAACCUGGGAACUGCAUUCGAAACUGGCAGGCUUGAGUCUCGUAGAGGGGGGUAGAAUUCCAGGUGUAGCGGUGAAAUGCGUAGAGAUCUGGAGGAAUACCGGUGGCGAAGGCGGCCCCCUGGACGAAGACUGACGCUCAGGUGCGAAAGCGUGGGGAGCAAACAGGAUUAGAUACCCUGGUAGUCCACGCCGUAAACGAUGUCUACUUGGAGGCUGUGCCCUUGAGGCGUGGCUUCCGGAGCUAACGCGUUAAGUAGACCGCCUGGGGAGUACGGCCGCAAGGUUAAA